rnacentral:rRNA from 1 species
UGAGGAAUAUUGGUCAAUGGACGCAAGUCUGAACCAGCCAUGCCGCGUGAAGGAUGAAGGCCUUCUGGGUUGUAAACUUCUUUUAUUGGGGAAGAAAACUACGGUUUCUACUGUAGCCGACGGUACCCAAGGAAUAAGCACCGGCUAACUCCGUGCCAGCAGCCGCGGUAAUACGGAGGGUGCAAGCGUUAUCCGGAUUCACUGGGUUUAAAGGGUGUGUAGGCGGGCAAUUAAGUCAGUGGUGAAAUCUCCGGGCUCAACCCGGAAACUGCCAUUGAUACUAUUUGUCUUGAAUAUCGUUGAGGCGGGCGGAAUAUGUCAUGUAGCGGUGAAAUGCAUAGAUAUGACAUAGAACACCAAUUGCGAAGGCAGCUCGCUAAGCGAUCAUUGACGCUGAGGCACGAAAGCGUGGGGAUCAAACAGGAUUAGAUACCCCUGUAGUCC